GGGGUGAAAGGCCAAUCAAACCGGGAGAUAGCUGGUUCUCCCCGAAAGCUAUUUAGGUAGCGCCUCGUGAACUCAUCUUCGGGGGUAGAGCACUGUUUCGGCUAGGGGUCAUCCCGACUUACCAACCGAUGCAAACUACGAAUACCGAAGAAUGUUAUCACGGGAGACACACGGCGGGUGCUAACGUCCGUCGUGAAGAGGGAAACAACCCAGACCGCCAGCUAAGGUCCCAAAGUCAUGGUUAAGUGGGAAACGAUGUGGGAAGGCACAGACAGCCAGGAUGUUGGCUUAGAAGCAGCCAUCAUUUAAAGAAAGCGUAAUAGCUCACUGGUCGAGUCGGCCUGCGCGGAAGAUGUAACGGGGCUAAACCAUGCACCGAAGCUGCGGCAGCGACACUCAGGUGUUGUUGGGUAGGGGAGCGUUCUGUAAGCCGUUGAAGGUGGCCUGUGAGGGUUGCUGGAGGUAUCAGAAGUGCGAAUGCUGACAUAAGUAACGAUAAAGCGGGUGAAAAGCCCGCUCGCCGGAAGACCAAGGGUUCCUGUCCAACGUUAAUCGGGGCAGGGUGAGUCGACCCUAAGGCGAGGCCGAAAGGCGUAGUCGAUGGGAAACAGGUUAAUAUUCCUGUACUCGGUUGUUACUGCGAAGGGGGGACGGAGAAGGCUAUGUUAGCCGGGCGACGGUUGUCCCGGUUUAAGCAUGUAGGCGGAGAGUUUAGGUAAAUCCGGACUCUUAUUAACGCUGAGGUGUGAUGACGAGGCACUACGGUGCUGAAGUAACAAAUGCCCUGCUUCCAGGAAAAGCCUCUAAGCAUCAGGUAACAUCAAAUCGUACCCCAAACCGACACAGGUGGUCAGGUAGAGAAUACCAAGGCGCUUGAGAGAACUCGGGUGAAGGAACUAGGCAAAAUGGUGCCGUAACUUCGGGAGAAGGCACGCUGAUACCAGGUGAAGUGACUUGCUCACGGAGCUGAAAUCAGUCGAAGAUACCAGCUGGCUGCAACUGUUUAUUAAAAACACAGCACUGUGCAAACACGAAAGUGGACGUAUACGGUGUGACGCCUGCCCGGUGCCGGAAGGUUAAUUGAUGGGGUUAUCCGUAAGGAGAAGCUCUUGAUCGAAGCCCCGGUAAACGGCGGCCGUAACUAUAACGGUCCUAAGGUAGCGAAAUUCCUUGUCGGGUAAGUUCCGACCUGCACGAAUGGCGUAAUGAUGGCCAGGCUGUCUCCACCCGAGACUCAGUGAAAUUGAACUCGCUGUGAAGAUGCAGUGUACCCGCGGCAAGACGGAAAGACCCCGUGAACCUUUACUAUAGCUUGACACUGAACAUUGAGCCUUGAUGUGUAGGAUAGGUGGGAGGCUUUGAAGCGUGGACGCCAGUCUGCGUGGAGCCAACCUUGAAAUACCACCCUUUAAUGUUUGAUGUUCUAACGUAGACCCGUGAUCCGGGUUGCGGACAGUGUCUGGUGGGUAGUUUGACUGGGGCGGUCUCCUCCCAAAGAGUAACGGAGGAGCACGAAGGUUAGCUAAUCCUGGUCGGACAUCAGGAGGUUAGUGCAAUGGCAUAAGCUAGCUUGACUGCGAGCGUGACGGCGCGAGCAGGUGCGAAAGCAGGUCAUAGUGAUCCGGUGGUUCUGAAUGGAAGGGCCAUCGCUCAACGGAUAAAAGGUACUCCGGGGAUAACAGGCUGAUACCGCCCAAGAGUUCAUAUCGACGGCGGUGUUUGGCACCUCGAUGUCGGCUCAUCACAUCCUGGGGCUGAAGUAGGUCCCAAGGGUACGGCUGUUCGCCGUUUAAAGUGGUACGCGAGCUGGGUUUAGAACGUCGUGAGACAGUUCGGUCCCUAUCUGCCGUGGGCGCUGGAGAAUUGAGGGGGGCUGCUCCUAGUACGAGAGGACCGGAGUGGACGCAUCACUGGUGUUCGGGUUGUCAUGCCAAUGGCAUUGCCCGGUAGCUAAAUGCGGAAAAGAUAAGUGCUGAAAGCAUCUAAGCACGAAACUUGCCCGAGAUGAGUUCUCCCUGACUCCUUGAGAGUCCUGAAGGAACGUUGAAGACUACGACGUUGAUAGGUCGGGUGUGUAAGCGUAGCGAUACGUUGAGCUAACCGAUACUAAUGAACCGUGAGGCUUAACCUU
rnacentral:rRNA from 1 species